rnacentral:tRNA from 1 species
GCCGGGUUAGCUCAGCUGGCUAGAGCAGCUGAUUUGUAAUCAGCAGGUCAUCGGUUCGAGUCCGAUACCCGGCUCCG